ACAAGCUGGCGCAGCUACCAUGCAGUCGAGCGGUAACAGAUCCAGCUUGCUGGAUGCUGACGAGCGGCGGACGGGUGAGUAAUGCAUAGGAAUCUGCCCGAUAGUGGGGGAUAACCUGGGGAAACCCAGGCUAAUACCGCAUACGUCCUACGGGAGAAAGGGGGCUUCGGCUCCCGCUAUCGGAUGAGCCUAUGUCGGAUUAGCUAGUUGGUGAGGUAACGGCUCACCAAGGCGACGAUCCGUAGCUGGUCUGAGAGGAUGAUCAGCCACAUCGGGACUGAGACACGGCCCGAACUCCUACGGGAGGCAGCAGUGGGGAAUAUUGGACAAUGGGGGGAACCCUGAUCCAGCCAUGCCGCGUGUGUGAAGAAGGCCCUCGGGUUGUAAAGCACUUUCAGCGAGGAAGAACGCCUAGCGGUUAAUACCCGCUAGGAAAGACAUCACUCGCAGAAGAAGCACCGGCUAACUCCGUGCCAGCAGCCGCGGUAAUACGGAGGGUGCAAGCGUUAAUCGG
rnacentral:rRNA from 1 species